UUCUGUUCUGUUGGCCCUGUGUUCUGGUCUUGGUUCUAACUGGUCCAUGUUCUACAGCUCCUACAGCUAUUCCUGAAGAAGAGGUUACUGCAUUCCUCACAGGACAGACCCACAAUAAUCUGAAGCUGGCCACUGAGUACCUCCGGCGUUAUUACAACCUGAAGAAAGAGUAACCUUUGGGUCGGAGCAAGAGGUACCUGUCCUCGUUCACCUCCAAGGUGAAGGACAUGAAGAGCUUCUUUGGCCUCGACACCACAGGUAGUCUGGACUGAGACCCUGGAGGUGAUGAGGACCCCUCGCUGUGGGGUCUCUAAUGUGGAGGACUACAGUCACAACAACCGAGUUAACCGCUGGAACAAGAACGUCAUCACCUAUAGUAAUGGGAGGUACACCAGUGAUUUGGCUCACAGCACUGUAGACUCUCUGAGUCAGCGCUCAGUGCCAGGGCCAGCCCACAGAGGGAUGACAUCAUGCUGGAGUUUGCUACCUUUGUUUGGGUGUUUUCUGACUUCUGGGACAAAGAUAAUGGUUAUGCCUACUCGUUGGAUGGGUCUAAGGGCACUUUGGCACAUGCUUUUGGCCCUGGAGAGGGAAUUGGAGGGGAUGCCCACUUUGACGACGAUGAAACUUGGAUUGCAGGGUCAAAAGGGUUCAACCUGUAUCUAGUGGCAGCCCAUGAGUUUGGUCAUUCUUUAGGCUUAAGGCACUCCCAAAACCCAAAGUCACUGAUGUAUCUUACAUACAAAUCCAGUCGCAGUACACAAAACCUGCUCUCCAAAGAAGACAGAUCAAUAAUCAACUCACUUUAUGGUAUAUGGAUCAAGCACAAUCAGCAAACUUAUUUAAAAUAAGGUCCUAUCAACAACUUCCUGCCAAAGAUUGAAUCCAAAGUUGAUGCUGCCUUCUGGGUCCCUCGAGAUCCACUGCUUAGCUGAUUCAUGGUACAGGCAGAUUCAUACCAUACUACCCCAUCAUGGUUAACAGUGUGCAACGAAUGUACUAAGACUCAUUUUCAGAAAAUAAAUGAAAGCCAAAUGCAUCAACUGAGAUUGCGGUCACGCCUGCUCCCUCUCUGACGCUCGAGGGCACCAGGCUGCCCUUCAUUACGCAAACCUGUCACCAUCAUUAGGUGCAGCAGCGCUCAUUGGACUCACCUGGACUCCUUCCCGUUGUUGAUUGCCCCGUCUAUAACUGUCUGCUCCCCCAUUUGUUCCCUGUGUCUGCUUUAAUGUUAUGUGUUCAUGUCCUGUCCCAUGUCCGUUGAUAAUUAAAUGUUCACUCCCUG